CGCCAUCACUCAGCCCUUUGUGGGGCAUACAUCCCCAGCAGAUAGGUAGCUCUCCUGAGUUGGUCUUGUCUUGGUCCCUUUAGUGCUGAUCCAAUACCUCUUUGUUGGUUGAACUAAACCCUUUAGUUUCAUUUGGAUAGGGGUUAUAUAAGGAAAUAUACAUGAUUCAGUAAGAUGCAUGCUUCUGUGAAAGCUGUAUAAACCUUUAGGAAUAUAUGAAUGUCUGUGCAGGAUUUCAUAAAGCAGAGAGAGGAAUUUAGGUUACAGCACUACUGGGAAAGCUCACAUCCUGCAUCAUGAUUCUGUUUAUACCUAUGCACAGCUGAAGGGGACUUAUAUGAACUGGGGACUUCCCACAACAUGAAAACGAAUCCCUUUUCUUUUGGAGGCUGGUGCAGAUCUCACAGCAGAGGUGUAAAACAUCCUUUAUGAGAAAUUAUGGGUAUCAGUGGGAGUGCAGCCCCUCCUAGAACUUCCAGCAGCUUGCCUGUUCCAGGAUGCCACAGAUGCUGGAACCUGAUGAGAAGAAAAGUAACAGCCAAGGAUUACUGGUCUGAUACAGGUGAACAGGCUCAUUAAUACCAUAGUACUGCUGAAGCAAUUAUUUAUUCAGCUUUAUUUGGCAACAGAUAUAUUCCUUUUAAGAAUAUGCUUAAAACUAUGAAAGACAGAAAUUUCCGUGGCCUAAUUGUGGAUGUGCUGGAUAAAGAAAUACUCUUCCAGUAGUUCUUCAUGGGUCAGAGGCCCUUAGCUUUGCAAAGCAACUUUGACAAUUCUCUUUUUGUUUUCUUUGCUAAAUCACCUCUGUGAUUUCCCUAAAUAGUUCCUGAUGCUCUAAACAAAAUACUUACAGUAUUACUAGUCCUCCUCCUGGGUAAUUUAGCUUUCAGAAGUAGAUUAACAAGUCACCAGUCAAUGGAUUUCUAGUGUGUUCAGCUAAACAUUAGCAUAUAGAACUGCUGAGAAAAUACUGAUAUAAUCUAUAGCAAAAAAUAAAACUCUUGGGAGAAUGUUCCUACUCCCUUAUGCUUUGUAUGCAAGUUUUCUGUGCUCUGAACUGGAUCAAUACUUGUAUAACUAGAAAAUGCACUCUGUACAAGGAAGAAAAUCAUUUUAUAAAUGCAGAAAAGGAGGACUCAAGUUUUAUUCUCUUCUUCAUGGCUACAUUUUUAUAUUUAAUACAAGACACUUGUAGACUCUAUUUAUAUAAAUCAAUACAGCUAUGAGCCAGUCAAGGUCUUCUGGAAAUGUACUGAGAAAAAUGUUCAUUUAUAUUGAGACUUCCUUAAGCCGCUCCUCAUAUGUUUAAGGCCUGUGAAAGGACUUUAAAUGUAUGGAAAUGUCAUUUACUCCCAGAUUAAGGACCCCUACCCUCCAUAAAGUGUAAAGGAGCAUUGCAUAAUUGCCUGUUAAGUUCACUCAUGUUGACAGAAAGCAUCUGAAUGAGAACACAAAAAUGUGUCUUUUGUAGUUCUGCAGUGAGAUGAAUUUUCAUCUUAGAUUAUUAUCUUAGUAACAGGAAUAAUCUUUUCAUUUUUCUCAGUUUCUCAGUAAUAUAGCAUUAUCUCUGGGCAGCUUUUUCUACCAUUUCUUAUUUGUGAAAGCCAAACUUGACCCUGUGUUGCUUUCUAAACAAUCAUUUUAUAGACUGCCAUGUAUGUUUUAGGGACCACCAACGUAGAAACUGACAGCCUUCAGGGUGCAGGCAUCUUUGGCUGAGUCACUUGUAAACUACUGCAACUCAAUGACAGUUUACCAGCAUGCAAAGCUAUUAGGAAUGCACAGCUGAGAGACUUGGAGUGUUUUAGAAUGACAUAUUUGAUCUCAUUUGCUUUUUCUUUUAUAUGCUGAAGUUUAUCAAUCAAAACCUGUAAGCUGGAGACAAAACAUAGAGGUAGUUACUGAAAUUCAGCUGCAGCCCUCUGUUUAGUGCAGAAUAGAAUAAUGUAGAAAUACUACUUCAUGUAAUAUAGAUUAUGAAACUGUACCUCAGUUGUUAAGACCUGUAUGGCUCUCUCCAGCAGUUAGCAAACUGCCUCAGAAGGCCAGGGAAGAUAGCUGGUGCAUCAUGUUCCUCUGUACAGAAAUGUCUGUAUUUAAUUUGUUUAUUUUUACAUGAAUGUAAAUGCCUGUAAUUUAUAUACUGCUUAUCAACAGUUUGUAAUGUGUCACAUACCUGAGACUGAAGUUUAUAAACAUACACAUGCAAAUGCAAAUAUGAUGUGUCACUUCCAUACAGUGGAUCUAAUUCUUUCUUUCCACCUCAGCCUUCAACUGCUAUGAUUUCAUUGAAAAGAAAUAUAUUACUACAAUUUACUCCAGCACCAAAAGCUUCAGACUCCAGAUCUAGAAAUCUUGAUUCCUGAGGUCAGAAAAUUGUAGAAGUUGUAGCAAGAGUACAGAGAUGAUCCAAUAAUCCAGGUCAUGGACAAAGCUUGGAAAGCUCAAGUAUCUUAGCUUUAUCAUUCCUCCUCCAAACAAGUAUUUAGGUUCUCCAUCCGAAGUAUUUCAAGACAAACUGUUGAGUGGCUGAGUUGCUAUACAGUCUCAUAUUUUCUGUGCAGCUCUGGCCUAAUAAACCUCUGGAGCUGUGACUGGUGAAGCCUACUGGGUUGCCCAUUUCUUUGGAAGGUCCCUCUACUGCUGUUGGUACCAAAACAACCAAUGUGGAUGACGACAUAACUCCUACUCCUGGCUCAUGCUUAUCAUUUUUAAAUGAGCUUCCAUCCAUGGUAUCCUCAAAAUCAACAGUACUUUGCAACACAUGGAAGAGCAAAAAGACUCAAAGUUUUCCAAACUGAUCUAAGGUUCUCUGUAAUUUAUCAGAGAAGAGCACUGAUGGAUGAGAGGUGAUCCUAAAACUGUUCAAUUACAUCCUUAGAUGGUCUUAGCUGCCCUGAUAAAUAUUUCUUUUCCUUCACCAGACUAUCCUAUUUUAAAACACAGCAGACUGGUUAAAGAUCACACUAAAUGGUGUAUACUGGUUAGACUUCUGAAGCUGAAUGCUUUCUGUCUGUCAGGAGUUAUUGACGUAGUGUCAGAAGCAUUGGAGCAGAAAGAAAAAAUGUGCUUUAUCUUUCUUUUUCUCAUCUCUCUGAAUGAUCUGUGUUUAUUUACAUAAGCUAAGUUUGUAGAAAACACCUCUUUGGCUGUACGUAGGCCAGAUCUUUGGUCUGGUCUUCCUGGCUGUUAGAGACCAUAAAACUCCACAUCAGGGAGAUCAUACUGCUUGCAGGGCUUACAUGUGCCUUUGCUCACCCCUUCAUUAAAAAGAGAGAAAUCAUUUAACAGUUGUAAUAGUUGGUAGUUACCUCAUUUUCUGUAUGGGUUAUUGUACUGUAGCAGAUACAACAGGAUAACACACAAACAGUACUCUACCCUGGUUUAAACUAUAUAAACAGGUACUUUAAUAGAAGAAAAUUUGGCCAAGCACAACUUACUAGCUCUCAUCUGAAUACAUAAUUCAUUCAAAUCGUAAAAAGGGGUCGUUAUUUGCUCUGAUCUGGUCCAGGUCUAAUUCAAAAUAUGUUUACUUUCAUUUGGAAUAGGAGCAGGUUUUACUUUCUGUUGAAAUUUUAAUAGUUAUGCCAUUAUCCCUUCUUUUUUGUUGCUUUUCUUUGAGCUGUUAUCAUGAGACGGAUGUUUUCUGACAAUACAUAUCUUAAAAGAGAAAAAGUAAUCCAGAGCAGAUCACUUAUAGUCAUCACAUUAGUUUCCUGCCGACUGUGUAACUUUCUUAGUAUCAGAAAGUUGGGCAGAGGGAAGUGAGUGUAAUACCCUUCAGAGUCUCUCAAAAUUAUGUUUUUCUAUGAAAACCGGGUUAAGAUACUCUUGUAUUACUCUUUUCUUCUUUUUAGCACUUCUGUUUUAAGAUAUAUAGAUCUAUGUCUUUGAAGAGCAUCUGAGAAGUAUAUCACUGACAAUGUACACUGCAAGAGAGGAGUUGGCUAAACUAUGUCAAUAAGAACUAGAAAAAAUUUUGUUAACAGAGUGGGAAAAAAAGGGGAAAAGACAUAUGUUUGAUACAGCACUAAGUUCAAAGUUUGGCCUGAUUAUUUUUUUACAUUUUUAUGUCUUUUUUAGCACUCUUGGUCUAUAAAAGACAAAAAAAACAGGUUUAGAAAAUGACAAGCAAAUGAUAAUUUGAAGAACUUUCAAUGUUUUAGUGAUCACAACAAACAUUUUUAUCUAUCUCUGUUAGACUUUCUGAGGCUGUUGUGGUAAAUUGAAUAAACGUACUAAAGAAACUUUUUUGUUUUCUGAUAGUGUUUCUUAUGGGAAAAGAUAACAAGGAAUGCAGGAUUCAGCGGUUUCACCUUCAGCUGUUUGAAAUAUCUCAAAUACUAGGGAAAAUAAAAAAAAAUAGAAAAAUCAAACAGGAGUGUCUGUAACUCCUGAAGAAGGAACUUGCUUGCAUGCUGCUUGUGAGUUUACUUAUGCAGGACCAGAGUGCUGCAGAUACAAUUGGCUUAUUUUCCAACACUGAUUUCUCUCUCAAAGCAAAACCUUGUUAGAAGGCUCUGGUACCUAUAACAACACAGCAGAGCUGACACUCUUUCAAAAUACUUAUUCUUAGUAACUCAUGAUUUUUCUGACCUUUUUUAAGUAAAACCUGUUAUUUAUCAGAUUAAUGUGAGCUUUGGAUAAGCGUGCACUGGCUCUUUGCAGUUCAGACAAUUUCUUCUUAAGGUUUCUCCAAGUUUUAUCAGCUCAGGGUCAAACUGAUCCUUCCUGCUCUUUAUACUUAUGUAAUACAUACUACCUACAUACUACUGUUAUAUAGUUUAUAUACAGUUUGUGUAGAAUUUACAGAGUGACAAUGACCUGGACAAACUAUACACUAUUGCCCAAACAGGUCAACAAUGGUAGUUAAAAGGAUAAUCAUGCAACAACAUGUUGUUUAAAAGCAUAAGUGAAAUUAUGAGUAUAUGUUAAAUUUACACAUUGUUUAAAAAUAUAACUAAAAAUCUGGACAUGCCUAACGGAAAAAAAGAAAUACGCAGAGCUACAUAAUAACUUUCGGGCAAUUGUGGCACGAAAAGUAUUCUUUCCAGUUCUUACAGAAUGUAUUUACAUGAUUAUUAUGACAAAGUGAUCUCUUUUAAUGCAUACACUUAGGCUCAAAAAAAAACCUGUGAAAAUGCUGCCUUUAUACUCAGCACUGUCUCUCUUAUCUGCCAAUCUUAAUGACUAAAGCAUUUUAGCUUAUUUAAUCUAAUUAAUCCUGAAUGACCAAUACAGCUAAGAAGAAACAAACUAGUUUUUUUCCUUAGCUCAACUUCUUGCAUUUAUCUUGUGCUACGGUAUGAACCUCCUGUGGUCAGAGCCUGAACGCUUGUUUACGUUUUAUAUUUUCAAGAAGCUACCAGUUGCAAAACUAAUUUCUACAGUGUGGACAUACUCCCCCUUCUCCCUUCCCCCUUCCCCGAUGUGAAUUUAUUCUGAUGGUUUCAAAUAAAGGGUUCAGAAUGUCCAAAUUGAAUGUCCUAUUCCAUGUGAUGAUCCAUCUCAAUAAUUAGCAAGUGAAGUUAAAUAAAAAUCAGGCAGACAAUUUCCAAAGGAAGUGUACAACACAGGGUGCAAAGCUUGGCCUGGAUUCAAUUAGAAAGUUACAGAUCAGUCAGAGUAACUUUAAAUAAAUUUACACAAAAAUUAAGAAAACAGGUAAUCUGGGAAGCAAUUAGAGAAUUAGAGUUUAGAAUUACAGGCAAUUAAUACUAUCAAAAAUAAUUUCAUGAAAGUUCUUACAAAAUUCUUGAUUUAUUUUUGCACGAUCAUUUAUCUGGUCAAUAAAACAGCUUUGAUAGAGUAUACACUAUAAUAUGCAUGAAUCUAUCCAACAGUUUGUUACUUGGUGUUUGGGUUUUUUUCUUAAAACAAGCAUUAACUGAAACUGAGGGAGCUCACCCUGUUUUGAUUAAAAUCUGAAUCAUCUUCUGUAUCUUGAGAUCAAUCAGUAGGGAAACAUCAAAGAUGAAUCUUCCUAAUGAGAUCCCCCAUGGACUAGUUCUUGUUCCAAAAAUAUUCAGUAUUUUUAUUAACACAAGACUCUGUAGAAUGCCAGUGCUACAGAGACUCACAGAGCAGUACACAAUUAUGGCAAUGAAUUAUAGAACAGCUAUGGCUUGAAUAGUGGUGUUACAAGGUCACAAUUAAGAUAAUGUGUUUCAAUAAAAUCAAGUGCAAAACAAAAAAAAAAUCCUAUAAAUCCCCUCUAAGGGAGUGGGACAGACUUCAGAGUUUUCAAAGGUAACACACAUUAUGUGAAGAACUAACAGGGUCCUUGACAUAUAAUAAAAGUUAAAUGUCAGACUGGCCUUGCUCUGUGCUUGUGUUGCUGAGACUGGCAUUGCAGUAGUCUAACCCAUCUUUGCUUGAUCAGAGAGAUGAGAAAAUCUGAAAAAAUGGUCAGCAGAGAGCCACAAGUAAUGAUCGAGGAGGCUGGGGAGAGGGCACACAGCGAGUGUCCUGAGCCAUCAUGUUGCAGACAGAUGGGAUCUCACUGUGCUCACACCUCAUAGCCAGGCCAGACCCAGGAAGAUAUCUCAUAACAGGUACUGAUGCAGAUUUUGGCAGGCAGAGAGGCAGUCAGGAGCCUGUGACUGGCCUGCUUGGCAAUGCAAUUUCUGAUCUUAUGCCAUCACCAUACUGGGAGCUGAGCAGCUGCUGUCUUUGAACAGAUAAGCUCAGCUUUGCUCUGGGCUCAGGGUUAUGUCAGGUCAGGAAGGAGCUUUGUUCCAGCUCAGACUAGCAAAAAACAUCAAGACACUUCCGAUUCUGCAGAGUGAAGUGAUGGCUAUUGAGCUGGAGAAACCGAGCCUCUGGUUAUUUUAUCACGAGUGUUAUCCAUUUUAGAAUGGAAUCAUGGAAUGAUUAGAACUGGAAGAGCCUCAAAGAUCAUUCAGUUCCAAUCCCCCUGUCACAGGCAGGGAUGCCUUUCACUGAUGAAGUUGCUCACAGUCUCAUCCAGCCUGGCCUUGAACACAUCCAGGUAUGGGGCAUCCAUGGCUUCUCUGGGCAACCUGUGCUGGUGUCUCACCAUCCUCACAGGAAAAUAUUUCUUCCUAAUAUCUGAUGCAAAUCUCUGUUCUUUCAGCUUAAUACUUUUCCCCCUCAACACGUCCCUCUUAUAAAGCCCCUCCCCAGCUCUCCUGUAGCCCCUCUCAUUACUGGAAGCUGCUCUAAGGUCUCCCCAGAGCCUUCUCUUCUCCAGGAUGAACUCCAACUCUCUCAGCCUAUCCUUGCCUGGGAGGUGCUCCAGCAUCUGAUAAUUUUCAUGGCCUCCUCUGGACUAGCUCCAACAGAUAGUAAUUGUUUCAUUUACGGAGACUAAGGAAUCUUACCUGCUAGCUGAAAAUAAUUCAAUGUUUAGCUGUUAGAGAUGGGAAGGAAAGUCAGCACCUGUGAUCUCUCUCCUCAAACACCCUGAAACUUCACAAGAGGAGGCAAUAGUCAAGGUGCAGAAACAUUUAGAAACUAACCCAGGGCAAACCUAGCCUGUCUCUGCCUUAUGUGGGGGUUGGAGCAGCGACAUCCAGAGGUUCCCUCCAGCCUUCAUGUCUCUGUGACUCUAGAAGAACUGGUCUUAGCCACUUAGACUCUCUCAUCCUAAAAACAGAUAUCUAAUUUGUGCUGGUCAUUCAAGCUAACCCUCAUAACAAGGAAGGACAACCACUUCUAAGUGCUUUUUAGACACUUCACUGGAGAUUGUAUGGACCGCAGAUUGGAGAUGUCUCUCUCACAUCAGUGAAGAAACUUCUUUUGCACAAGGCAUUUUACUUAUUGAAGGUCAGACUUAGAGAUCUGAGUCCUAGUCAAAGCCUAAGUAGCAUGCAUUUAAUUCCAGGAUUUUACAGCCCAACUACCUUAUGAAGAACUGUGACAUGGAUCUGGCCAUAUCCUUCAUGUAUGAUGGGUAUCAUGUAUCAUGGGUGAUCAGGCCCAGUCAACACAGGUUCACAAAAGGCAGGUCCUGCCAAACUAACCUUGUCACCUUCUAUGACAAAGUGACUUGGCUACUGGAUGAGGGCAAGGCUGUGGAUGUAGUCUUCUUGGACUUCAGUAAAGCCUUUGACACAGUUUCUCACAGCAUUCUGCUUCAGAAACUGUCAGCCUCUGGCCUGGAUAGGCGCACACUCUCGUGGACUUAAAACUGGUUGGAUGGCCGGGCCCAGAGAGUGGUGGUCAAUGGAGUUAACUCCAGCUGGAGGCCAGUUACAAGUGGGGUUCCUCAGGGCUCAGUACUGGGUCCAGCUCUGUUCAAUGUCUUUAUCAAUGACCUGGAUGAAGGCAUUGAGUGCACCCUCAGCAAGUUUGCAGGUGACUCUAAGCUGGGUGGAAGCGUGGAUCAGCUGGAGGGUAGGAAGGCUCUGCAAAGGGAUCUGGACAGGCUGGACCGCUG